AUACGUGCGCCGCGUUCGGUUUGCGACCAUAACAACGCCUGAUAACCCUCACUUUUUUUUCGAUAUUUUUAAAUAAAGGGAUAUUAAUUUCAGAAUCUGUUCGCACUUCCCUGAAGCUCCUGCACACAACACCCUUCAGACCGACACACGAGCUUUUAAACAUCCCACUUACACGAAUAUAUCCAAUCUGCCAAGAAUUCAAGCUCUGGAUGUCGAUGUUGGACUCUUUCUAAAGACACAAACAGCGGUGCGAGGACCCCGGGAGGAAUGGGGUAGAGAUUGCGAUGAGGGUCCCGGCACCAAACAGCUCUGAUCAGGCAGAAUCGGGCUCAGGUAAGAUGCCUGAGAAUGGACGCUCAAGGAGGAAACGCGUGCCAAAGACGUGCGACUGCUGCGGGCCCAACGGAAAGCCCCACAUGCCUGGACACGAGCAGGUUUCGAAGAAACGAGGCCGCAAGAAGAAGGAGAUGGUGAGCCAGGGAGAAGUGGCCGCGGAGGAGGAGGUGGUCUGGAGCACGUCCGGAGUCCUCACGCUGGAAGCCGACGCUGUGACUGCUGAGAUGGAGGAGACGCCAGAUGCCAGAGGAAAAGCAGACUUCAUCCAGUCUGAGAGUGUGAGUGACAGCACUGUGAUGGUGAACGGUUUGGAGAACAGCGCUCAUGAUAACUGUACUGAUCCCGCCAAAGAGAACAGCCAUCCAGUCCAGGCUGCUUCUGCUCUACUCAAUGACCUAAUGAAGAAACCCUCUGAUUCUGCCUCGGUGGCUGCAGAGCCGGACGCUUCUCCUCAUAGUAAUGCGA
ensembl:processed_transcript